UAAAGAAAAGGAUGGGGAAGGGUGGAUGGGAAUGGUGUCUUGGGCCGAGGUCAUCCAAGGAUCUGCUGUUGAUCUCCGAGUUGCUCCAGCUCUCAGGAGGGUUUU